rnacentral:rRNA from 1 species
UACGUAGGGGGCAAGCGUUAUCCGGAUUUACUGGGUGUAAAGGGAGCGUAGACGGCGAUGCAAGCCAGUUGUGAAAGCCCGGGGCUCAACCCCGGGACUGCAUUUGGAACUGUGUGGCUGGAGUGUCGGAGAGGCAAGUGGAAUUCCUAGUGUAGCGGUGAAAUGCGUAGAUAUUAGGAGGAACACCAGUGGCGAAGGCGGCCUGCUGGACGACAACUGACGGUGAGGCGCGAAAGCGUGGGGAGCAAACAGG